rnacentral:sRNA from 1 species
UGUCUUCUUUGGGUUAGGCUAGUGCUA